ACAUCAAAAUAAAUAAAUACUCGUAAAAUUCUCUCGUAUACUAUCCCCGUCCCCAAAUAUCCUAGGGUUUCAAAACUAUCGAUCAAAUAAAAUCUCUAUUAUAUAUACCCCUGUUCCCAUAUCAUAUCCUUCCGAUACCAAUCAUCAUGUAUAACGGAAUCGGGUUACAAACCGCCAGGGGAUCCGGAACAAACGGAUACAUCCAGAGCAACAAGUUCUUCGUGAAGCCACGCGCCACCAAAACCUCAACAAACAACAAUAACGGUACAGGAUUAGAAGGCGGCGUGGGUAGAAAACCUAAUAAAGAUAUAUUAGAACAUGAGCGAAAACGUGAGAUCCAAUUGAAGCUAACUGUGCUUGAAGAUAAGCUUAUUGAACAAGGAUAUACUGAUGAUGAGAUUGCUGAGAAGUUAGAUGACGUCAGGAAGACGUUGGAAGCCGCUAUGGCUUCCGAAGAUGCCGGUGGUGCUACUGCUGUUGUUUUCGAUCCUAAUCAAAAGUUUUCAGAUACGCAGACCCAUCAAGUUGCUGCACGCAAGCAGAAGCAAAUGGAGAACUUAAAAAAUGCUCUUGGGAUAGUCCACGAAGAUGAGGUUAAGAAGUAUGCACUUGUCUCUGAUGAUGAUAAAAUGGAUGAUGCUGAAAAAGCAGUAGAUAAUAAAAAAAUUGCUAGCGGGGCCGAUGGUAAAAAUGAAAAAGAUACCAAAGCUGGAAAAGAUGGUCUUGAUGAGCGUAAACAUUACAAGAAAAGGUCAAAGAAAAGAAGAGAAGUCUCUUCAGAUAGUGAGAGUAUCAGUGAUGACAGUUGUGAUUCAGAUAGUGACAGCAGUAGGGAACCUUUGAAAGAUACUAGGAAAAAGCAGCCGAAAAGUAGGGGAAGAAGUGACGAUGAGGAAGACUCUGAAUCCGACUCUGAUGAUAAUAUGAGAAAAAGUAGGCGGAAAUCAACAAAUAAGCUUAACAAAGGUAGAAGACAUGACAGUGAUGAUUCUGAUUAUGCUAAAAAGAAUGUCCGAAAUGCGAAGAGAUAUGACUCAGAUAGAAGCUCUAGUUCUGAUGAACGCCCAAACAUUAAAAGUGAAAAGGGGAAGCAGCUAUCAUCAAGGAGCAGACGACAUGAUUCAGAUGAUGAUUCUGAUGCUUUUGACGUAGAUAUACGUGGAAGAAGACAAGUUGAGGAGAAGAGGAAACCAAUUAGAACGGAUAGCAGAAUAGAAAAACAUAUUUCUACUCCCAAUGACUAUGGAAGAGGUAUAUACGAUAGGUGGGAUGGAGGUAGUAGGAAGCAUGAUGUGAGUCCUGUUAGAGGAAGAAGAAUUGAGAAAGAGAGACUUGAAAAGGCGGGAAGGAGACAUGAUAGUGAUGAUGAGGAAUCCAACGAAGACAUAAAUUACAAGAAUGAGGAAGUUGAGAGGGGCGGAAGGAGGCGACAUGGAAAUGAUGCUGUGGCUGACAAAAAUGAUACACAAAAUAGAGAAAGGGAUGGAAAAGGGCAUGAUGCAAGUCCAGUUAGAGGAAGAAGAAUUGAGAAAGAGAGACUUGAAAAAGUGGGAAGAGGGAGAAAUGACAGUGAUGAUGAGGAAUCUGACAAAGAUACACAUCGCAAGGAGGAAGUUGGGAGGGGUGGAAGGAGGCAACGUGGAAAUGACUCCGAGGCCCUUGACGAAAAUUAUAUGCGACUUAGAGAAAGGGAUGGAAAGGGGCAACAUGAUGUUAAGCGUGAGGAGUACUAUAAAAAGGAGAUCAGAACAGGUGAAAAAAGGCAGCGUGAUAUUGAAGAACCAAAAAGAGAGAGAGUUGAAAGAAGUAGGAGACAUGAUAGUGAUGAUGAGGACCCUGACAAAGACGUACAUCACAGGAAUGAAGAAGUUAAUAGAGAUGGAAAGAGGCGACGUGGAAAUGAUAUUGAGUCCUCUGACAAAAAGGAAACUAGACAAAGAGAUAGGGAAGCUGAACGAGGUGGAGGAAGGCAGCAUAAUGUUAACAGUGAAGAAAUAAAUAGAAAAGAAAUAAGAAUGGGUGAAAAAAGGCAGCGCGAUAUUGAAGAACUCAAGAAAGAGAGGGUCAAAGGUGGUAGGAGGCGGCAUGAUAGUGAUGAGGACGAUGAGGAUCCUGACAGAGACACAAAAGAGAAAGUUGAUAGGGGUGGAAGAAGGCAAGAUGAUGAUAAUGGUGACGGAAACACAAAGAUGUUAACUAGGGAUGAACGGAGUUACAAGAGAAAAGUUGCUGAUUAUGAAGAUGAUAAGUAUUUGGAAGGAAGAAAAGAAAUCAGAGAUCAAGAAGAUCGUGGGGUUAGAAAGCACAAAAGAGAUGAAGAAGAUGAGACAUACAAAAGGCUUGAAAAGGGUAGGGAGCAUCGUGAAUCAAAAGACACUAGAGAGCGGGAACAAGAGCAUGGAAGCAGAAGGGAUGAGAGAGAUAGAUAUGUUGACCAACCCAAGAGAUCCAGAUAUGAUACUGAGCGGAGGUAUGAUAGUGGCAAGCAUGACGGUGGACGUUCAAGGCACUAACCCUUCUAUAUAAUUGUAUUGGAUUAUUUAUAAGUACUUGAUUAUGUUAUCAAUCUGGUUGAAGCACAUGCUUGCCUUCACUUCAUUGUGAUUCCCUUCAACCCCCAACAAGGUGAUUCUGGAGAUUGAGUUGGCUGGUUGAAUUCAUACAAUAGUUGGUUAUAUAUAUAUAUAUACAUAUAUAUAAAUCAUAUAUAUGUGUAAGGAUUACAAAGCCUACUUAGAUUUGUUUGAUUCAGUUUUAUGUAAUAUCUUUGAGAGACUAGAUUUGUAGUUUGCAGUUGGAUGCUUGUAACACAUUUUGUACUCGUGUUUCCAGAGUAAUUUUAUUUGCACUUGCUUAAAAAGAAA